rnacentral:rRNA from 1 species
UACGUAGGGGGCUAGCGUUGCUCGGAAUCACUGGGCGUAAAGGGUGCGUAGGCGGGUCUUUAAGUCAGGGGUGAAAUCCUGGAGCUCAACGUCCAGAACUGCCUUUGAUACUGAAGAUCUUUGAGUUCGGGAGAGGUGAGUGGAACUGCGAGUGUAGAGGUGAAAUUCGUAGAUAUUCGCAAGAACACCAGUGGCGAAGGCGGCUCACUGGCCCGAUACUGACGCUGAG